rnacentral:rRNA from 1 species
AUCCACCUUCCGGUAACUCCGGUAUAGCCUUUCGAAAGAAAGAUUAAUCCCGGAUAGUAUGGUGAUUCCGCAUGGUUUUUCCAUUAAAGGAUUCCGGUUACCGAUGGGGAUGCGUUCCAUUAGGCAGUUGGCGGGGUAACGGCCCACCAAACCUACGAUGGAUAGGGGUUCUGAGAGGAAGGUCCCCCACAUUGGAACUGAGACACGGUCCAAACUCCUACGGGAGGCAGCAGUGAGGAAUAUUGGUCAAUGGGCGGAAGCCUGAACCAGCCAAGUAGCGUGAAGGAUGACUGCCCUAUGGGUUGUAAACUUCUUUUAUAAGGGAAUAAUUGCGGGUACGCGUACCCGUUUGCAUGUACCUUAUGAAUAAGGAUCGGCUAACUCCGUGCCAGCAGCCGCGGUAAUACGGAGGAUCCGAGCGUUAUCCGGAUUUAUUGGGUUUAAAGGGAGCGUAGGCGGGCGCUUAAGUCAGCUGUGAAAGUUUGGGGCUCAACCUUAAAAUUGCAGUUGAUACUGGGUGCCUUGAGUGCAGUAUAGGCAGGCGGAAUUCGUGGUGUAGCGGUGAAAUGCUUAGAUAUCACGAAGAACUCCUAUUGCGAAGGCAGCUUGCUGGAGUGUAACUGACGCUGAUGCUCGAAAGUGUGGGUAUCAAACAGGAUUAGAUACCCUGGUAGUCCACACAGUAAACGAUGAAUACUCGCUGUUUGCGAUAUACUGCAAGCGGCCAAGCGAAAGCGUUAAGUA